rnacentral:rRNA from 1 species
AAUGAACGCUGGCGGCGUGCUUAACACAUGCAAGUCGAACGAGAAAGGGAUUGCUUGCAAUCCUGAGUAGAGUGGCGCACGGGUGAGUAACACGUAGAUAAUCUACCUUCAAGCCCGGGAUAACUAUUCGAAAGGAUGGCUAAUACCGGAUGAAGUGUUUUGACAUAAGUUGAAACAUGAAAGAUUGCCUCUUCCUGAAAGCAAUUGUUUGGAGAUGAGUUUGCGGACCAUUAGUUCGUUGGUGGGGUAAAGGCCUACCAAGACUACGAUGGUUAGCUGGUCUGAGAGGAUGAUCAGCCACACUGGAACUGGUACACGGUCCAGACUCCUACGGGAGGCAGCAGUGAGGAAUUUUGCGCAAUGGGGGCAACCCUGACGCAGCAACGCCGCGUGAGUGAAGAAGGCCUUUGGGUCGUAAAGCUCUGUCGACAGGGAAGAAAUUGACAUGAUCCAAUAGGUGAUGCUAUUGACGGUACCUGUAGAGGAAGCACCGGCUAACUCCGU